UAUCCGUCAAAUGCCCAUCAUAACAGUCCCAAUACAUAAGUACAAGGAGUUUAAUUAUACUAUAAUUAAAAUAACAAACCAAAGUUCAAACAUAGUCUUAAAAUACAUUGCAUGGUCGUGACCGAAUAUAGUAUUGUUUAAGUAAUUAAGCUAGUUUACACAAGAACACACAUGAAAAAUUCUUGAAGAACAGGGACCAAUUCGUUCACUAUCAACUACAGGGCUUCCCUUUACAUCUCACACAUUACUCAAGUGUUGAAACAUACCUGGAAAAUGAAAGAAAAUAAGAAGGGUGAAAUCAGCAGUCAAGCAACAACAGAGAACUGAGGAACAAUGCUUCAAAAUUAAUGAAACAAUAACCAAGAAGAAAAACGUAAACCAACACUUUCAAAAAUAAACAAACUCAAUCCAUUUCAAAACCAAAAAUCUAAAACCUUGAGUUUUCAACGAUUUGAACCAAAAUGUUAAGAUCAGAUGAACCAAAACUAAGCAGGAUUUCAAAAAUAACCAAAAUCAAUGAAACAGUAACCAAGAAGCAAAAUGCAAACCAGCACUUUGAAAAAUAACCAAACACAAUCCAUUUCAAAACCAGAAAUCCAAAACCUUGAGUUUUCAAUGAGUUGAGAUCAGAUGAAUCAAAACUAAGCAUUAUUUUCAAUAAUUUUUGGGAAAUUUCCAAGAAUUCCAAGUUGUUUCAGACUUUCUUAAAGAAAGGUAACCAUUUCAAUUUUCAGGUUUUUUAUCUCCAAUUUUUCUGACUUGAAAGCCAAGGUAAGGUGCCU
rnacentral:lncRNA from 1 species